CAGCGGAUGGAAAGGUGUAUCGCAAUCUGUUACUAGAUCGUUUAAAGACUUUCCAAGGAGGGAAGGUCUUUGAAAAUAAACUAGAAACCAUUCUGGAAAAUAUGGACUACAAACUUGGAAAAGAAGAAAUGAAAGAUCUGCGGGACCAUUUGAAAUUUGAUGAGAAUGGAAAGGUUUUAUUGAAUUCUAUGAUCAGGGCAGCCAGUUUAUUUUCUGGUGGUAAAAUUAAUGCCUGUGACACACAACUUUAUCUAGGAAAUGUAGGUAUUGAAUUUACAAAUAAAGAAAACCAAGAUCUACUGGACAUAGUGCCAUUGGAUGGUAAGCAUUUCAGACCAUGCAGUCAAUUUCACAG
rnacentral:lncRNA from 1 species